AGAGUUUGAUCAUGGCUCAGAUUGAACGCUGGCGGUAUGCUUAACACAUGCAAGUCGGACGGUAACAGUCCCUCACCUAGAAAUUUCUUAAAAAGAGAUUUGUAGGUGAGGGAGCUGACGAGUGGCGGACGGGUGCGUAAUGUAUAGGAAUCUGCCUGGUAGUGGGGGACAACUCGGAGAAAUUCGAGCUAAUACCGCAUAAGCCCUACGGGGGAAAACGGGGGAUCUUCGGACCUCGUGCUAUUAGAUGAGCCUAUAUUAGAUUAGCUUGUUGGUGAAGUAAUGGCUUACCAAGGCGACGAUCUAUAGCUGGUCUGAGAGGAUGAUCAGCCACACUGGGACUGAGACACGGCCCAGACUCCUACGGGAGGCAGCAGUGGGGAAUAUUGGACAAUGGGCGAAAGCCUGAUCCAGCAAUACCGCGUGUGAAGAAGGCCUGAGGGUUGUAAAGCACUUUCAAUUGGGAGGAAUACCUAAUAGUUAAUAGCUAUUAGAUUGACA
rnacentral:rRNA from 1 species